CGAGUUAUCUGAACCUUCGGGGAACGAUAACGGCGUCGAGCGGCGGACGGGUGAGUAAUGCCUAGGAAAUUGCCCUGAUGUGGGGGAUAACCAUUGGAAACGAUGGCUAAUACCGCAUAAUGCCUACGGGCCAAAGAGGGGGACCUUCGGGCCUCUCGCGUCAGGAUAUGCCUAGGUGGGAUUAGCUAGUUGGUGAGGUAAUGGCUCACCAAGGCGACGAUCCCUAGCUGGUCUGAGAGGAUGAUCAGCCACACUGGAACUGAGACACGGUCCAGACUCCUACGGGAGGCAGCAGUGGGGAAUAUUGCACAAUGGGCGCAAGCCUGAUGCAGCCAUGCCGCGUGUGUGAAGAAGGCCUUCGGGUUGUAAAGCACUUUCAGUCGUGAGGAAGGUGGUGUAGUUAAUAGCUGCAUUANUUGACGUUAGCGACAGAAGAAGCACCGGCUAACUCCGUGCCAGCAGCCGCGGUAAUACGGAGGGUGCGAGCGUUAAUCGGAAUUACUGGGCGUAAAGCGCAUGCAGGUGGUUUGUUAAGUCAGAUGUGAAAGCCCGGGGCUCAACCUCGGAAUAGCAUUUGAAACUGGCAGACUAGAGUACUGUAGAGGGGGGUAGAAUUUCAGGUGUAGCGGUGAAAUGCGUAGAGAUCUGAAGGAAUACCGGUGGCGAAGGCGGCCCCCUGGACAGAUACUGACACUCAGAUGCGAAAGCGUGGGGAGCAAACAGGAUUAGAUACCCUGGUAGUCCACGCCGUAAACGAUGUCUACUUGGAGGUUGUGGCCUUGAGCCGUGGCUUUCGGAGCUAACGCGUUAAGUAGACCGCCUGGGGAGUACGGUCGCAAGAUUAAAACUCAAAUGAAUUGACGGGGGCCCGCACAAGCGGUGGAGCAUGUGGUUUAAUUCGAUGCAACGCGAAGAACCUUACCUACUCUUGACAUCCAGAGAACUUUCCAGAGAUGGAUUGGUGCCUUCGGGAACUCUGAGACAGGUGCUGCAUGGCUGUCGUCAGCUCGUGUUGUGAAAUGUUGGGUUAAGUCCCGCAACGAGCGCAACCCUUAUCCUUGUUUGCCAGCGAGUAAUGUCGGGAACUCCAGGGAGACUGCCGGUGAUAAACCGGAGGAAGGUGGGGACGACGUCAAGUCAUCAUGGCCCUUACGAGUAGGGCUACACACGUGCUACAAUGGCGCAUACAGAGGGCAGCAAGCUAGCGAUAGUGAGCGAAUCCCAAAAAGUGCGUCGUAGUCCGGAUUGGAGUCUGCAACUCGACUCCAUGAAGUCGGAAUCGCUAGUAAUCGUGGAUCAGAAUGCCACGGUGAAUACGUUCCCGGGCCUUGUACACACCGCCCGUCACACCAUGGGAGUGGGCUGCAAAAGAAGUAGGUAG
rnacentral:rRNA from 1 species